AGAAUGUUGACUACAGUCCAUGUUGCUUGUGUAAGCAUAAAUGAGACAUUGGUAUAAGGAAACUUCUUCAGGUUUCUAAUAUGUAAAAUUACUAGAUCUCUCACAUAACUUGAUCUGCUUGUAUGUUUAUACAUGCAGCUCACACUCGAGAUAUUGACUUUAGAUCAUUGUCCAUUCAUUUUUAUUGCUCGCCCGAUACUUCUACAGACCUUUUCUCUAAUUAUUCUCCUGACUAUGGGUUCUUGUACUGUCUCGUAGACCCUGUGGAAACCUCCUAAAG
rnacentral:misc_RNA from 1 species